rnacentral:rRNA from 1 species
GAUGAACGCUAGCGGCAGGCUUAAUACAUGCAAGUCGGACGGUAACAGGUCUUCGGACGCUGACGAGUGGCGCACGGGUGAGGAACACGUACACAAUCUACCUUAUACUGGAGAAUAGCCCCGGGAAACUGGGAUUAAUACUCCAUAGUCUUUAAUGAUCACAUGAGAAAUAAAGUAAAGCUUCGGCGGUAUAAGAUGAGUGUGCGUCCCAUUAGAUUGUUGGUGAGGUAACGGCUCACCAAGUCGACGAUGGGUAGCUGGCGUGAGAGCGCGACCAGCCACACUGGCACUGAGACACGGGCCAGACUCCUACGGGAGGCAGCAGUGAGGAAUAUUGGACAAUGGGCGAGAGCCUGAUCCAGCCAUGCCGCGUGCAGGAAGACGGCCCUAUGGGUUGUAAACUGCUUUUGUACGGGAAGAAACACUCCCUCGUGAGGGGGCUUGACGGUACCGUAAGAAUAAGGAUCGGCUAACUCCGUGCCAGCAGCCG